rnacentral:rRNA from 1 species
AUUGAACGCUGGCGGCAGGCCUAAUACAUGCAAGUCGAACGAGUGGCGGACGGGUGAGUGAUGUCUGGAAAACUGCCUGAUGGAGGGGGAUAAGUGCUGGAACCGGUAGCUAAUACCGCAUACGAUCAGAUGUGCCCAGAUGGGAUUAGCUAGUUGGUGGGGUAACGGCUCACCAAGGCGACGAUCCCUAGCUGGUCUGAGAGGAUGACCAGCCACACUGGAACUGAGACACGGUCCAGACUCCUACGGGAGGCAGCAGUGGGGAAUAUUGCACAAUGGACGCAAGUCUGAUACAGCCAUGCCGCGUGUAUGAAGAAGGCCUUCGGGUUGUAAAGUACUUUCAGCGGGGAGGCGUUACCCGCAGAAGAAGCACCGGCUAACUCCGUGCCAGCAGCCGCGGUAAUUC